UGCGUAGGCGGCGCGGUAAGUUGGGUGUGAAAUCCCUCGGCUCAACCGAGGAAUGGCGCCCAAUACUGCCGUGCUCGAGGGAGACAGAGGUAAGCGGAACUGAUGGUGGAGCGGUGAAAUGCGUUGAUAUCAUCAGGAACGCCAGUGGCGAAAGCGGCUUACUGGGUCUCUUCUGACGCUGAGGCACAAAAGCUAGGGUAGCGAACG
rnacentral:rRNA from 1 species